rnacentral:rRNA from 1 species
UGGGGAAUUUUGGACAAUGGGCGCAAGCCUGAUCCAGCCAUGCCGCGUGCGGGAAGAAGGCCUUCGGGUUGUAAACCGCUUUUGUCAGGGAAGAAAUCUUCUGAGUUAAUACCUCGGGAGGAUGACGGUACCUGAAGAAUAAGCACCGGCUAACUACGUGCCAGCAGCCGCGGUAAUACGUAGGGUGCAAGCGUUAAUCGGAAUUACUGGGCGUAAAGUGUGCGCAGGCGGUUUUGUAAGACAGAGGUGAAAUCCCCGGGCUCAACCUGGGAACUGCCUUUGUGACCGCAAGGCUUGAGUGCGGCAGAGGGGGGAUGGAAUUCCGCGUGUAGCAGUGAAAUGCGUAGAUAUGCGGAGGAACACCGAUGGCGAAGGGCCAAUCCCCUGGGCCUGCANUGACGCUCAUGCACGAAAAGCGUGGGGAGCAAACAGGAUUAGAUACCCUGGUAGUCCACGCCCUAAAACGAUGUCAACUGGUUGUUGGGAAGGUUCCUUCUCAGUAACGUAGCUAACGCGUGAAGUUGACCGCCUGGGGAGUACGGCCGCAAGGUU